UUUGUAAAUUGUGAAGAUUUAUGUAAUUUUAAACCAUUAUGUUUGUCGAAAAUUAGGAUUGUGUUGGAGCAAUAGAUGGUACACAUGUUCGUGCAUCUGUGCCACCUGAAAUACAAGGAAGAUUUCGUGGUCGCAAAGAUGGAACCACGCAAAAUGUGUUAGCUGCCAUUAGUUUUGACUUAAAGUUCACCUAUGUGUUGGCUGGAUGGGAAGGCAGUGCACAUGAUUCACGUGUAUUAAAUGAUGCAUUUGCUAGGCCAGGGGGAUUUUCAAUUCCCAAUGGUAAAUUUUAUCUUGGUGAUGCUGGGUAUGGUAAUAAAAAUGGAAUAUUGUCACCGUAUCGGAGUGUACGAUAUCACUUGAAAGAGUUUAGUGAUCGUCCUCCUGAGAAUGCGCAAGAAUUGUUCAACCUCCGACACUCUUCAUUGAGAACUACCAUUGAGCGAGGGUUUGGAGUGGUGAAAAAACGUUUUCGAGUGUUGGAUGCAGAACCAUAUUGGUCUUUCCCAACCUAAGUGAAAGUAGUGUUAGCGUGUUGUGUGGUUCAUAAUCACAUUAUGGGGGUUGAACCAAAUGACCAUAUUAUGGAAGAUGCAAUGAACCAAGUAGAGCUUAGUGACCACCAACAAGAAACACAAUCCCAUCGGGAGUCCGUCGAAGAUAGUAGAUCAUGGAAUGCUAAGAGAGAUGAGAUAUGCCAAGCCAUGUGGUCUGAUUAUAUCAGGAGUGGAGAGUAGUAUUUUAUUUAGAUUUCUAUGAUUGUAAUGUGUUUUUCCUUGUUGUUUUUUUGUAAAGACAAUGUAUGUAAUAUAGACUUUUGGUGAUGUAAUGAAAAAGAAUUUUUAGCAUUACAUUGUUAUUUGAUGGUAUUACAUUGUCAUUUCCAUAGUUAGCAUGUUCCAUUCUGUUGUACACAUUCAUAAGCGUGGUUGUAUGUGUGUUUGAUUUGUUAUUCAUGUUCCGAGCGUAAUUACUAAAUGCUACUCUGACUAUACUAUUUUCAUAUGUAGUAAUGUCAAAGGGCAAAGAAAAAGUUAGCGGCAGCAAGCAAUUUAGGUGGCUGCCACCUAUGCAUGAGAUGAUGCUAAAGAUACUUACAGAGGAGGCUGGAAAGGGCAAUAAGCCCUUUAAUACUUUUAGGGCCGGCUCCUUUGCUCUUGUAGCGAAGGAGAUAACGGCCCAUUUCGGGGUUGAGUGCCACCCUGUAUUUGUGGAGAACCGGAUGCGGACUCUAAGGUCCAUGUGGGCAACUAUUCAAGAGCUUAGAAGGAAGAGUGGAUUCGGUUGGGACGAAAAUCUGAAAAUGAUAACUUGUGACGCUAAAACAUACCAAGAAGAAGUUAUGGCACAUCGGAAGCAUGCCGAGUAUCUGAACAAAAAAAUUGAGUUUUACGAUAAAUUAGCGAUUGUGAU